CUCAGUUUGUAGAGGUUUCAGUCCGUAAUUAGCUAGCUCCAAGGCAGGAUGGCAGAGGGGCAACAGUUCAUGGCAGUAGAAGACAACAAAAGCAACAAGGGACCUCAACAGCAUCUUUCUGCCCCUUUUAUCCAGGCUAAUUAGGGCAGGUAGCGCUCACACCCUUAAUCCUAGUGCUUUUGGUUUUAGCAUUGCACUGUGAAUCACACAUUCUAGAUUCAGCCACCUCCGAAAUAGCCCCACCUCAUUUUCACGAGGCUUUGGGGGGACAUCUAAACACAAACCAUAACAUCAGGGCUUUCCUCAAAAGACAGUAACAGUAGCUGAUACCCCAGUAGGGUACCAAAAAGAACUUGUUCCAUCCCAUCUGCUAUGUUAACACCAAAUAUAUCCAUUCAUAAGUCGAAUGAGGAGCCGUCUGUCCUUAGGGUUGAGAUGAGAGAGAUGAGACAGUUCCUGUAUCAAACAUUGCAUUUUCAAAGAUGAACCUUUUCUUUUAAGGGGUGCAGCAUGCUUAAGUUGACCUCAAUCAGGUGAGGAAGGGAGAGCUCUUGAUUAGAGCUACGCAUUUUCAUCAACAACCCAUGGCUGUUCAUUAUAUCAAGGCUUUUAGAAGUCAGACUAAGUUGAAAAAGGAAUGGCUAAGGAAGAGGCAAAAAGGAAGAUGAGAGGUAACCACUGACGGACAAAGAUGUAGUUAUGGAGGUGAAAUUGGAGUGGCUCAUGGAAGAGGGAGAAAGCUGGAAGAUCCUGUGAGGUUAAAUUUCACUUCUGCUGUCUGCUAGUUUUUGAGCACCACUGCCUAUAAACCCAUUUCUUUUUCAGUAGAGCUAUUGGUGCAUAUUUCAUACUUAUAUGUGUACUUAGAAAGUACUCAGCACAAAGCCUGCUUCGAUUGCAAAUGCUGAACAAAUUUCAGAGGUUGAAAAUGAUAAACCCUUAGCUAACCUUAUCAAAAAAGGAAAGAAAAGGCUCAAAUCCAUGCAAUUAAGAAUGAAAAAGGUGAAGUCACAACA
rnacentral:lncRNA from 1 species